CUGGGGUAGUGAGAGAACCACGAACAAGGGAAUUAUGAGAUAUGAAUUAUCUGGAUUUAUACUGCUAAGUGUCAGAUGGUGUGAUAUCUGUAUUCAUUGAAAUAAAAACUGGAGGUGAGGAAGCAAGAUGGAGACUUUCGCCAAACUGUGUUCUGGAAUGAAAGAAUGAUAAGGAGAUAGAAGUUUAUUGGAUACCCUGCAAGGAAGCAGUGGGCGAGACAGCAGAGGAGAGGCUGUCUGCCUUAUUGAGACCAUUCAUAUUCCAGAACGAUAAAGAUGAAAAGUACAAUCUGAAAAAAGAUAGCAUAUCUACAGUGCUAUAUGCCUUUGUCGUUUUAACAAUAUUCCAGCCUUGCACCUCUGCUGCUCCUGUGGUAUCCAAUCACAAGAUGAAAAACUUUUGGAAAUAUCUUUGUACAACAGGCCUACUCAUAUGCUCAUCAAAGAAAUCAAUCCAACUGUUGAGUGUUUGGGUCGCUACCCCUCUUUAGUUCCUGAGGAUUUCCAUGGUUGGUAUCACCUCCACCCCAGGAAAGGGAUUAAAAGACACUAAAAUAGUAUAUUAAAGAAUAAGCUACACUGGA